UUAAAACCCCCCAAAUACGAGCUCCUCCAGCCCAUUUUGGAAGGGUGCAAUGGGGGUGAGAUGCUCGCAGCCCCCCCUCACCCCAUAACCCCCCCAAAAAGGGGGAUGCAGCAGCCCCCAGCUCGCCCUUGGAGCCCCCCCCCCCCCCCAGGGUUCCCCCCCCCCAAAACCCCCCACCGGGGCAGGUUGCGGGGGGGCCCCUGCGAAGUAACCGGGGGGGGGGGGGGAAGGAAAAGGGGGGGCUGGAAAAAAAAUAAUUAAAAUAAUAAAAUAAAGGGGGGGGGGAAGGAAAGGGAGGGCGCAGGCUCUACCAUUUUGAUGCAAAGGUCUCCGCGCAAAGGAGUCCCGGUCCUCCUCCGCUUGCCUGGGGUUUGUGCUCUCCAUGAAAAAAAAGGAGCUGGUGGGUUGGGUGGGUUGCUGGCUUGGUGGCUUUUUUUUUUUUUUUUUCCUUUUUUUUUCUUUUUUCUUUUUUUUGCUGCCUUUUUUUUUAUUAUUAUUAUUAUUUUUUCUCUUCUUCCCCUUUCCCUUUUUUUUUUUUCUCCCCUCCGCCUUUUUUUUUUCUCGCCCUUUUUGCUCUCCCCCCUUUUCCUCUCCUCUUCCUCUCCUCCCUCGCUCCUUCACCUCAUCCUGCCCAUCGCCAUGUUAGCCCCUUUUGGGAAGAACGGAGGAAUGCGGAGCGGCGGCGGCUCCGGCUGCCAAGAGCCCUUGGGCCGCUGAUUGGAGCCGCAGCAUCAGCUGGGGCCGCCGCUGCCCCCCCUUAAAGGGACAGGCCCCGGCCUCUACUCACCCCCCCCCGGGACCCCCCCCUAUUCCUGUCACCCCCCUCGACCCCCUAAGAUCCUCCCCUGACCCCCCUUUUUCCCCCCCUACCCCCGUGGGGGGACCCCACCGAGCAGCGCGAGCAUUGCGGAGGGGGAAACUGAGGCACCGUGGAGAGGUCUGGGCUUAAAAGAUUUUAAGAAAUAUAUAUAAAAAAAGAGGGUUUGGGGUUGCAAAAGGGUGAGUUGGGGAGGUGUGGGGGGUCAGCAAGCUCGGUUUUGUUUAAAAAAUAAAAAAAAAAAUAGGGGGAAAUGGGGGUGUGGA
rnacentral:lncRNA from 1 species